AUGAAGCUCGUUAGGUUUCUCAUGAAGUUGAACAACGAAACUGUCUCAAUCGAGUUAAAGAAUGGCACUAUCGUUCACGGCACCAUUACAGGUGUUGAUAUUAGUAUGAAUACACAUUUGAAAGCCGUUAAACUAACCCUAAAGGGGAAAAAUCCUGUUACUCUGGAUCAUCUCAGUGUGAGAGGCAACAACAUUCGUUACUAUAUCCUUCCUGACAGCUUGAAUCUGGAAACUUUACUGGUUGAAGAGGCUCCUAGGGUCAAACCUAAGAAGCCAACUGCUGGGGGAAAGCCGUUGGGGCGAGGACGGGGGAGAGGACGUGGACGCGGUCGUGGCCGUGGCCGUUAA